rnacentral:rRNA from 1 species
CCUACGGGAGGCAGCAGUGAGGAAUAUUGGUCAAUGGCCGGAAGGCUGAACCAGCCAUGCCGCGUGAAGGUCAGUGCCCUAUGGGCGUUAAACUUCUUUUGUGCGGGAGCAAUAAUGGUCACGUGUGGCCAGACGAGAGUACCGUACGAAUAAGCAUCGGCUAACUCCGUGCCAGCAGCCGCGGUAAUACGGGGGAUGCAAGCGUUAUCCGGAUUUAUUGGGUUUAAAGGGUGCGUAGGCUGGUAGGUAAGUCAGCGGGGAAAUGCCCCCGGUCAACGGGGUGAAGUGCCAUUGAUACUGGCUUGCUGGAAUGCGGAUGCCGUGGGAGGAAUGUGUGGUGUUGCGGUGAAAUGCAUAGAUAUCACACAGAACACCGAUUGCGAAGGCAUCUCACGAAUCC